GAGACGUGUCACCGGCAGCCAGUGGUGCAGCUCGAGGGGCUGUGGCUGAGCUGGAAAUGCCCGAAGGAACACUGAACGGGUACGUUGGGACAUCUGCUCUGCUGUUUCACCUGUGUGGGGGUUAGCUGAGAUUUGUGCCUCAGUUUUUAACAUUGUCACUAGUUGCAACUGCUUUGAAGACAUCCCCUAAAAAAGCCUCUCAUCCAUUUGUACCCACCAAAGAGCUUUUUGCAUGCGUCCAAGCAUUGCCCACAGGAGAAGCUGGGAGGCCAUAAAUCUUUAUGGCCAAAAAUAUACUCCUUUGAUCUCUGCAGUCAAAAGUCUGUCUAAUUGACUUGUAUUGUUAAAACAAAGAAACAAAACCAAAAAUAAAAUAAAAUAAAAAUAAAAAAUUGACCAGACAGCACAGUAGCUGGAUUCAGCUUGGUUAGGGCAGGAUGGUGUUCAGAAACAAAUGACACUGUAUUCCUCCAAAUAAGACAAGUGCCUAUUGAGCGUAUGUUUUAUUGGUUUUAUUGAACGACAGAGACCUUUACUGUGAUGAUGAUUAUGAUGACAUUACAAUGACAAUUCUGGUGUCCUUUUUCUUUGAAUCUGAGCCCCCUGUGGGACUGGUGAUGUUUUCCUUCUCUUGCAGGAAAAUGUGUCUGUGGCUUAAAUAUCUCGCCCAGCCCUACUGCUCUGCCAUCGCUCGGCUAAGCUCAGAACUACUGACGUUUUAAUGGGGAUAGCAAAAAUUCAAAUUCCUGCAUCCAAACUCAGUGCCCAAGGUUAGGUCAGCUAUGGAAACCCUCAGUUCAAGGCUCUUGCAGCUCGUACGUAAACGCAAUAGGUAGCCAGGCAGCUGCUUGGAAAGUGCUCGCGAGGAGCCUGUCCACUGGGAUUCUGGAGCAGAAGACACACUUUGGUCUUAGAGGGGUGCCAAUUCAGCGAGGCCAGAUUCUGUCACCUUUACUUCCAGCAAGGCAUUUGUCCCACGGACCUCCACAGCUCCUGGAAGAAAUAAAGCUCUGCAAAGCAGAUCCUGGCUGGCCAGGACUCAGUUCCUCUGUCUGGCUCUUUUACCGAGGGAGAGGUGUGGGUUUCUUCUGAAAGCCGAUCCUCUAGCUUUAGGCAGCUGUCAGAUCCAAGGGCUGUAAGACAGCAGGAAAAAAUCUCUUUUCACCCCCAAAAAAGAUGUAUAAGAAGUGAGUAACUUGUCUGUUUCUAAUACUAGCAAAGGUUAUUGCCUUUAUCCUCAUUUGUACCACUGCCACGGAGCACAGCUUCAUUAGGAAAUGCUGCUGGCUGCAGGAACGUGGGGUCUCUGUGGGCGCUGGUUCUGCUGGGCUGCAGCCUGCCUUCCUCACCCUCCUUAUCCUCUGCUUCCCACUGCAGCCUCCUCUGCCUGCCCCCAGAUCCGCAAAAUGGAUAUAAAGGUCAUUUUCAAAUCCAUGAAGUAGAUUUUUU
rnacentral:lncRNA from 1 species